rnacentral:lncRNA from 1 species
UAGGAUUUUGCUAAUCCAUAUGACUUUUUUCGUGGAGGUUCGUUGGCAGCUGCGUCACGAUCCUUGGUUUGCUGGACAGCCCCCCUUGUGAUAAAUUUUGUGCAAUGGUCGUCUCUGACCAGUUUUUCGAGGUGCUUUUUCCAAGCGACACAGUCAUUUGUGUAAUGAUCGUGCCCUUCAUGGGAUUCGCAGUAUCUACUAGUAUCCUUCUUAGCUGGGUUUCCCUUCAAAUGGGACUGUUUCUUCAACGAAGGCAUGUUCUUUACUUGGGCCAGGAUCUGGUGUAUCGGGAUAGUGAACUUGGUAUAGCUCUCGGCUGCUGGAGCACCUCCUUGAGGCUGUAAUCCGCACUUGCCUUUUUCUUUGUUGUUUAUCCUGCCAUUCCUUUAGCUUGCCUGCUCAACCGGUUGAUCGGCUUGCUUGACAGCCUUCUUUGCGGCGAUCCUAUCAUCGUCCUAAAGUGCAUAGAGUUCUGUUGUUGUGAAGACUUUUACUAGUGUUUGGCUGAGAGAGAUGGUCAACUCACGAUACAGCUCACACUCAGUUGGCAAGCCCCUCUUGAAGGCCGAUGACGCGAUUCGAUCGUCACAUCCAAUGAUGUUUGCCCUUUCUGCUUUGAACCUCUUGAUGUAAUCUCAGAGGGAUUCAUCGUACUUCU